AAACACCUGUUGUCUCUCUUGUUACAGGUGCGGACCCCAGAUUCUGAUGACCCUACCGGCUCUUUACACCCCAGGAGAAGUCUGCUGGACGCCAUCUUGGGAGAGCUUGGAUCACCAGCUGACAGUGACAUCCACGACAACCAACUUCUCGACCGAUCCACCGAGGACGAGGAGGAACUCAAGAUGGCGGACGACGAUGACCUCCUUGAUGACGAUGAAGAUGACGUGGACUUCUCAGAGGAGCAAAUGUACCGUGGCCAUAGACUGAGGUGUGGAGGCGAGCCGGGGGAGGAUGGAGGUAGUGCGUCAGUCUCCAGGCAGCAUCCUCCUGAUCUCAGUCUCAGCUUAACGUCGCCCUCCUCACUGCUACCUCCGAAUACCCACGAUCCUGCCGAGAUUGUCUCCCCCGUCAACGUGUACAAGGCUUCAGUGUUGAUGGUUCCUGUAGAUGACUGAACCACAUAGGCAGCGGACCUACAACCACAACUAUCACCACUACCACCAUCGUCCCAGCCCUUCACCACCACUCUCACCACCACCCACCCGCCCACUGCACCGCACGGCGCUUCUCAAGGUGGCGGCGGGGUAAGUGGGGAGGAGGACUUGGGGACACCACAAUCAUCCCCAAAAUUGUCUAGGUGGACCGCCCAAAUCCCCGGUUUCCCUAAGGAGCUGGAGAGAAACAUUAAAAUCAAGAAAGGCGCCGACCAACUAGGGGUGAACAUCGAGGUGGUGGACCAAGGUGUGAACGGGGUAGUCGUCUCAUCUCUGGUCAGGAACGGCGCUGUGCACAAGGACGGUCGGCUGCACGCUGGGGACUUUAUCCUGAGUGUAAACAAUGAAUCUAUGAGACACAUUACUAACUCCCAGGCCAGAGCGAUCUUGAGAAGGACCCAACUCGUCAGCACGGAUGUCAGUAUCCUGUACAUCCGUGGGCAGGACGCUGCUGUAUUCCGAGAAGAGUGUCUCUUACAGUACCGUGAAGGACAGCUGCAGCAACAACAACAAUGUCAACAGUCUCAUUACCCACAGCACCAGACUAGUCCAAGGAUCUUCCCGAAGUACUACAGGUAAGUUGUAGGGCUGGAGUUUAGUUAUGUUGUGCCUCUCCUCCUCCUUCUCCUCUUCCAUAUC
rnacentral:lncRNA from 1 species